UACGAAGGGGGCUAGCGUUGCUCGGAAUUACUGGGCGUAAAGCGCACGUAGGCGGUUUGUUAAGUCGGGGGUGAAAUCCUGGAGCUCAACUCCAGAACUGCCUUCGAUACUGGCGAUCUCGAGUUCGGGAGAGGUGAGUGGAACUGCGAGUGUAGAGGUGAAAUUCGUAGAUAUUCGCAAGAACACCAGUGGCGAAGGCGGCUCACUGGCCCGAUACUGACGCUGAGGUGCGAAAGCGUGGGGAGCAAACAGG
rnacentral:rRNA from 1 species